rnacentral:lncRNA from 1 species
CAGCUCCCCUUUAUCCGACCAGCCGCCACGUCCUGCAACCAAAAGUAACCGGGAUGAAUGUCUGGCCCCC